AACUCACUGCCUGGCAUCACGCUGAACAGGCAGGGAGGACUGGAACUCAGCCCUCCAGAAACCAGACAGCAGACCAGAAUUCGAGUUCUCUGCUCACUGGAGAUGAUCAGGCUCCGACCCUCAGUUCAGGCUGAGGCCCUUCAACUAGACUCCUGCAUUCGGGACCUGGACAGAAGAAAAAGUACACAAAAGGAGGGACUGAAAAGAAGAAAGGGGGAAAAGGUACAGGCACUGACAAAGCAACAGACUUCAUUGGGAAGGGGCGCCCAGGUGGAGAGAAACAGCAUAAGGGAACCCAGGAGAACUGCUCUGCCACGUGGCUCACGGUCUUGGAUUUUAUGGUGAUGGGGUUAUUUUCCAGGCCUCUGGAAAUUGUCUCUGGCCAGUCAUCUUGCUUGAUCCAUCUUUGGUCUUAGGAUCCUUUCUGGAGGUGCAGGCAUCUCUCAGCCAAGACGGAUUCUAGGGAGGAUUCUGGCAAGCUGAUAGGACAUAUGGACUGUCGUCUCCUCUCCCCUUUGGACCUUCCCCCAAUUCUUCUGGUUGAUGGUAUCUUGUAAGUGCUGCAUUCCUCACCAGGACUUCUGGUUGUAAGCCAAUUCAUGCAAAUGGUCUGUAUCAGGCCAGGCUAGGGCCCGUGGUUUUGGUCAGUGGUUCCCAUAACAGAGCCUUUGUGGAGGAUUUUCCCCCCUCACGUUUGUCUCAUUCAGUCAGUCUUUUGCGCUGCCUCUAACCAAGAUUUCAGCAUCUCUGAAUUCACUUCUUUGGGCUAUCUAUCCGGUGAUGAAGAGUGAGCUCAUCACCUGUUGGGACUGACAAGCCCUCUUGAUUCUUUGAAAGUGGGUCCUUGUCUUUGGACAUUAUUUUUCACUCCAGGAGACUGCCAGUGACAUCAACGUCUGUGACAGAGGGCUCCAUCUCUGUUAUCAUGGGGGUCCUGGCCUUUGCUGGCUUCAGGGUGUGAACUAGGAGGGGCAUGUGGAGUCUUCAGCUUGGGCAGUGCCCCAUUCAUGUCUUGUCACUGAGUGAGGCUGGGUUUCCUAUUUAUAGAUGCAAGCAGGAUUUUAAGGAAGUAGCAAGAACAAUCAGGUUCUUGGAAGUAUGCUCUGUUGCAGACACCCAUUAAAAUCACCUCCCAGUUGAUUUCACUCCCAUAUGGGGUCUGCAAUUUGUCUGGGUGACAGGAGCAUGCAUGGGGUAGGGUUGGCCAGGGCUGUCCAGGUGUCAGGAGAGGCUCGUCUUCCCCCACCUAGCUGUCCUGACCAGGACUCUAACACUGUCCUUCUGUCUUUCUCCUGCUCUCCCAGUCACUUGCCUCUUCACCAGCCUCCUCCACUGAGGCUACCAGGUCCCGCAUGUUGCCUCUUUCCAAGGAUUAAACCCAGGCCCUUGUUCCCCAGACCUAUGCAUAAGGCCCUGACACAUCGAUCACCUGAACCCACCAAGCUGGUGACCCACCCAAGCCUGCAUCCUGUCCUUCUCCCAGCGCCCCUGUGUCCCCAAACCAUACAGGCCCCCUCCUGAAUAGAGAUUCAAGUGAAUCAGUGACGAGAAAGUGAAAGUUGCUCAGUCAUGUCCGACUCUUUGCGACCCCAUGGAUUAUACAGUCCAUGGAAUUCUCCAGGCCAGAAUACUAGAGUGGGUAG